AUGGGGAUGGUAAUGGAAUGGGUGAAAUUCUUGGAGGGGAUGCUGGUGAAGUAUAAGGAGGAGAUGGAAAUAAAUUUGAAGCCGGGGAUGGGGAUGGGGAUGGAAUUUGUGGAACUUUUGAAGGGGAUGUAACUGGAGAAAUAUAAGAAGGCAAUGGAGGUAAAAUGGGAGCUGAAGAUGGGGUCGGAGGUGAAGCUGAUGGCAAUGGUGGAGAUUUUGCUGAUGGUGCAGGAGAUUUUGCUGGUGGUGGUGGUGGUGGAGAUUUUGCUCGUGGCGGCGGCCGAAGGUGAUGAAUUUUUGGAGGUGGUGGGGGCAUUUUCUUUUUAUUUGGAGGUGGUGGUGAUCAAGGGGGCGACGGUGUUCCUCGAUUCAGAAGUCCUGAUGGUUGAAAUACAGAGUUUUUAUGAUUAUAUGGUAAUGGUGGAUCUUCGUGAUCAUGAGGUGGACUAGGAGGUUCCUCAUUAUCAUAAAUAUUGGCCGCCGCGUUAAUUGCUAGUAAGCCGAAAACCAUGGCAUGCACAAGAUGACACCGAGAUGGUGACGCCAUCCUUUCGAACUCUUCCCAAUAAUCACAUCGCUAAUUAUAUAUCAAAGUAAUUAUAAUCAAGUUUAUACACCUGGAAGUCCAAAUAAUUGAGAUUUUCACGUGGGGAAAGUCUUCAAUGUAUAUAGGUAAACAUUGUCCUGAUAUCUAAAUUCUCUUUUACUGUUUUUCUCCAAAGAAAUUAGACGAGUAAAAAGUUUAACGAUAAGAAUUGUAAAAAAAGAAGUAAUUAUCGUAAUAAAAGACAUUCAUUUAGUAUUAUAAUGCUUUUCAACAAACAUAAUAUUUUCCUCCAUAUUAUCCAUAUAUUAUUACAAUAACUAAUUUUCUAUGAUAUUAUUCUGGCAUGAUUGAUGGAGCACAAUCGACUUUCCUUCAACUGAUUACAUUUUCAAUACAUGCAUUAUAUAAUAUGUAAGUCUCUUCGAAGAAACCCACUGCCAUCAUUAACCAUAUAUAAUCUGAAAAAAAAAACACAAUUAGAGAUUAAAUAUUGGUAAAUUAAAAAAAAAAGAACCAUGUUAUCGAAAUGAACAAUCUAUUACAAAGAAAGUUAAAAGAACUGACCAAUUUUGAUAGAUAUUUUUGAACAAGGUGGAGGUUAAUUAUUGGAUGAAGGAGGUGAUGGAGAUAGAGGAGGCGGGGAUUUAGAUUUAAAGUGAAAGAAGGGAGGAAGUGUAAACCUCGAAGGAGGUGGAAAUUUAAGGAUAUGUGGAGGGGGAGAAGGAGAUGGACGUGGCGGGGAUUUAAAGUAAAAGAAGGGAGGAAGUGUAAACCUCGGAGGAGGUGGAGAUUUGAGGAUAGGUGGAGGGGGAGAAGGAGAUGGAGGUGGCGGCGAUUUAAAGUGAAACAAGGGAGGAAGUGUAAACCUCGGAGGAGGUGGAGAUUUGAGGAAAGGUGGAGGGGGGGAAGGAGAUGGAGGUGGCGGGGAUUUAAAGUGAAAGAAGGGAGGAAGUGUAAACCUCGGAGGAGGUGGAGAUUUGAGGAUAGGUGGAGGGGGUGGAGGAGAAGUAUAAGGAGGUGAUGGAAUGGGUGAAAUUUUUGGAGGGAAUGUCGGGGGAGUAUAAGGAUGUGAUGGAGAUAAAUUGGGAGUUGGGGAUGGGGAUGGUGAUGGGGAUGGAAUGGGUGAAAUUCUUGGAGGGGAUGUCGGGGGAGUAUAAGGAUGUGAUGGAGAUAAAUUGGGAGUUGGGGAUGGGGAUGGUGAAACUUUUGGAGAGGAUGUCGGGGGAGUAUAAGGAUGUGAUGGAGAUAAAUUAGGAGUUGGGGAUGGGGAUGGGGAUGGGGAUGGAAUGGGUGAAAUUCUUGGAGGGGAUGUCGGGGGAGUAUAAGGAUGUGAUGGAGAUAAAUUGGGAGUUGGGGAUGGGGGUGGUGAAACUUUUGGAGAGGAUGUCGGGGGAGUAUAAGGAUGUGAUGGAGAUAAAUUAGGAGUUGGGGAUGGGGAUGGGGAUGGGGAUGGAAUGGGUGAAAUUCUUGGAGGGGAUGUCGGGGGAGUAUAAGGAUGUGAUGGAGAUGAAUUGGGAGUUGGGGAUGGUGAUGGAAAUCGUGAAACUUUUGGAGAGGAUGUCGGUGGAGUAUAAGGAUGUAAUGGAGAUAAAUUGGGAGUUAGGGACAGUGAUGGAAUGGGUGAAAUUCUUGGAGGGGAUGUCGGGGGAGUAUAAGGAUGUGAUGGAGAUAAAUUGGGAGUUGGGGAUGGGGAUGGUGAAACUUUUGGAGAGGAUGUCGGGGGAGUAUAAGGAUGCGAAGGAGAUAAAUUAGGAGUUGGGGAUGGAGAUGGAAUGGGGGGAAUUCUCGGAGGGGAUGCUGGUGAAGUAUAAGGAGGAGAUGGAGAUAAAUUGGAAGCCGGGGAUGGGGAUGGUGGAACUUUUGAAGGGGGUGUAACUGGAGAAAUUUUAGAAGGCAAUGGAGGUAAAAUGGGAGCUGAAGAUGAGGUCGGAGGUGAAGCUGAUGGCAAUGGUG
rnacentral:lncRNA from 1 species